rnacentral:rRNA from 1 species
AGUGAACGCUGGCGGCGUGCUUAACACAUGCAAGUCGAACGAGAACGGAUUAUAGCUUGCUAUAAUUGUCAGCUAAGUGGCGCACGGGUGAGUAAUGCAUAGGUAAUAUGCCUCUUACUAAGGGAUAACAAAUGGAAACGUUUGCUAAUACCUUAUACUCCUUAUUAACAGAAGUUAAUAAGGGAAAGAUUUAUUGGUAAGAGAUUAGCCUGUAUUGUAUCAGUUAGUUGGUGGGGUAAUGGCUUACCAAGACUAUGACACAUAACUGGUUUGAGAGGAUGAUCAGUCACACUGGAACCGAGACACGGUCCAGACUCCUACGGGAGGCAGCAGUGGGGAAUAUUGCACAAUGGACGAAAGUCUGAUGCAGCAACGCCGCGUGGAGGAUGACACACUUCGGUGCGUAAACUCCUUUUAUAUGAGAAGAUAAUGACGGUAUUAUAUGAAUAAGCACCGGCUAACUCCGUGCCAGCCGCCGCGGUAAGAC